rnacentral:tRNA from 1 species
CUCGGCGUGGCACGGCCCACCCGUUCCCGCCCGCUCCUGGUGGGCGGCGCUCCCUGGGCCGUCGACCUCGCCCGGUCGCUGCGCGACGCCGGGGCC